rnacentral:rRNA from 1 species
CAUUUUCUGCCACCGAAUACAUUAGCAUGGGAUAAUGGAAUAGGACCCUGUCCUCCUAUUUUCAGUUGGUUUUGGCAGCGCGAGGACUAGGGUAAUGAUUAAUAGGGAUAGUUGGGGGCAUUAAUAUUUAAUUGUCAGAGGUGAAAUUCUUGGAUUUAUGAAAGAUUAACUUCUGCGAAAGCAUCUGCCAAGGAUGUUUUCAUUAAUCAAGAACGAAAGUUAGGGGAUCGAAGACGAUCAGAUACCGUCUUAGUCUUAACCAUAAACGAUGCCGACCAGCGA